UUUUUUCUAUUUUUAUUUUUAUCAAUUUCCUGUUUAAAUCUUUGCAAGUUCACGUUUUUAGUAGUCACAAUCAGUUGGUUAUGUUAUUUUAUUUACAGUUCUUUUAUCGUGUAUUUUUGCUUUUUCAGUAAUUUAUGGUAGAAUUUACACUUUCAUGUUCCUAAUUUCCUGUUAUAUAAUGAUAUAUGUUUCGAAAAUGUAUAUGUACUAGAUCGUGUGAUGUUGUAUUGUAAUGCAUCAGGAGCUUUUUUGUGGGUUAUCGUUCUUUUAGAAUUUGUCACUUUUUUUCUAUUUGUGCAAGUUUGAGCUCCCUAUUUUUAAAGUUAAAUUUUUAUUUUGAAUUUUGAAUUUGACGUGAAAGUUGUAUUGUGAAUGGCUUAGGAAAAUAACAAAGAGAGCCUACAUGUGGAGCAAUGACAACUCGAAAGUGAUUUUAGGAAAAAAACAAAUCAUAUGGCAAGAUGCAAGCACCAGGUGGACAAGCUGAUGGGGAAAAACAACAUGUUCUUGGGAUCACUAGAAACCUUCGGGAUGCUUCAACGGUAUCCGACACGAAGAGUCCAAGCAACAUAGCAAGCAGAAAAAAGGUGUCCCACCAAAUGCAGCUGUACGAAGAAAGCUAUCUGGUUAGUUAGGAGGUGACACUAUUGUUGUGAUAAACCCUGUUGUCGAUAUCAAAAUUCUUCGGAAGAGCCGCUUAAGCACCUCUUGAGCAGAAGAAAAGCAAAUAUCAACUGAAAAUUUUUAAUUCUCCCUCUUUUACCAAGAAUGAAAGAUAUGAAUGCAUUCCCUUGCCUAGAUGAAAUGUAUAGCAAGUAAUAUCAUUAUAUAUAGUUAGAUUGACCGAUCUAUUAUCAGGGUGUUUAUGGAUGUUCAGGAAAAUUGAACAAUCUUAUUCUAGAUGUUGUAAUCCUGUGCAUGACAGUUUAGAUUACAUUUCAAUAUUGACAUUUUAAA